AAGUCGUAACAAGGUUUCCGUAGGUGAACCUGCGGAAGGAUCAUUGACAAAUCUAAACGCGGCGGCGCGUUGGUGCUGCUGCACACAGCGGCGGCAACAACAGCGCAGCACAUCCUAACCUGUGAACGGCAGCGCAAGCUGUUUGUGGCGGCAGCUGCAGAGUUAGCUCUGUGGCAGCCAGCCAACACAUUUACGUCGUACAAAACUGUCUUACACACACACAAACAAACAAAAUACAACUUUUAGCAAUGGAUCUCUUGGCUUCU
rnacentral:misc_RNA from 1 species